rnacentral:rRNA from 1 species
AAUUUUGGACAAUGGGGGAAACCCUGAUCCAGCCAUCCCGCGUGUAUGAUGAAGGCCUUCGGGUUGUAAAGUACUUUUGGCAGAGAAGAAAAGGUAUCUCCUAAUACGAGAUACUGCUGACGGUAUCUGCAGAAUAAGCACCGGCUAACUACGUGCCAGCAGCCGCGGUAAUACGGAGGGUGCAAGGGUUAAUCGGAAUUACUGGGCGGAAAGCGUGUGUAGGCGGUUCGGAAAAAAAGAUGGUGAAUCCCAAGGCUCAACCUUGGAAAUACAUUUUUAACUGCCGAGCUAGAGUAUGUCAGAGGGGGGUAGAAUUCCACGUGUAGCAGUGAAAUGCGUAGAUAUGUGGGGGAAUACCGAUGGCGAAGGCAGCCCCCUGGGAUAAUACUGACGCUCAGACACGAAAGCGUGGGGAGCAAACA